UAACCUGCCCAAGAGAUCGGGAUAACACCUGGAAACAGAUGCUAAUACCGGAUAACAAUAGAUGAUGCCUAUCAACUGUUUAAAAGAUGGUUCUGCUAUCACUCUUGGAUGGACCUGCGGUGAAUUAGCUAGUUGGUAGGGUAACGGCCUACCAAGGCGAUGAUGCAUAGCCGAGUUGAGAGACUGAUCGGCCACAUUGGGACUGAGACACGGCCCAAACUCCUACGGGAGGCAGCAGCA
rnacentral:rRNA from 1 species